CAAAUGUGCUCUCCAUAUGUGUUUGGUUCAUGAUCAAAAUUGGUAUCUAAGUGGAUUGAAAUAAAAAUCAAAAUAGUUAUAUUUUCUAUGUAUUUGGUUCAUGAUUAAUAUUUAAAAAAUUAGAGCAUCUCUAUUUUCAAAAUCAAAAUGAGGAUGAGACUUUUCCCAACCAAGCCGUUGGGAUGGAAAUUAAUCACUCUCGUCCCAUUCGAAAGUCAAAUUCAUCCGAUUAAACAUGUCCUGAA
rnacentral:lncRNA from 1 species